rnacentral:ncRNA from 2 species
CUAUGGCGCAGCGCCGAUUUGUUUCCAGAUUGCGGGCGCGUUAAAAAUGCCGCUAAAGAGGGGACCCCGGUUU